GGGCAUGUGGCACAGUGGUUAGCGCGCACGCUUUGCAUUGUUUCCGGUUACACGGGCAAUUCCUUGCGUGAGGUCAAGGGUUCGACUCCCUUCCUGUCCA